UACGAAGGGUGCAAGCGUUACUCGGAAUUACUGGGCGUAAAGCGUGCGUAGGUGGUUCGUUAGGUCUGAUGUGAAAGCCCUGGGCUCAACCUGGGAAUGGCAUUGGAAACUGGCGACCUAGAGUGCGGUAGAGGGUAGUGGAAUUCCCGGUGUAGCAGUGAAAUGCGUAGAGAUCGGGAGGAACAUCCGUGGCGAAGGCGACUACCUGGACCAGCACUGACACUGAGGCACGAAAGCGUGGGGAGCAAACAGG
rnacentral:rRNA from 1 species